rnacentral:rRNA from 1 species
UACGUAGGGUCCGAGCGUUGUCCGGAAUUAUUGGGCGUAAAGAGCUCGUAGGCGGCAUGUCGCGUCUGCUGUGAAAGACCGGGGCUCAACUUCGGUUUUGCAGUGGAUACGGGCAUGCUAGAGGUAGGUAGGGGAGACUGGAAUUCCUGGUGUAGCGGUGGAAUGCGCAGAUAUCAGGAGGAACACCGGUGGCGAAGGCGGGUCUCUGGGCCUUACCUGACGCUGAGGAGCGAAAGCAUGGGUAGCGAACAGGAUUAGAUACCCCCGUA